GCAUUAAGGCCCAACCAAAAUGGCAAGGGAGAAAGAAAAACUCAGCAACUUCAUCUUCCUCCUCUCAUGAACUCUACUUCCAAGCUUCCAUUGUCUUGCUCCACCACCGGAGGCGACAGAGUUGUCUGAAUCAGUCAAGUUGUAACAAAAAAUACUCCUCUACAUCUCAAUCUCCUCUUUCUAUAUCUCUCAUCAAUUUAUUUAAACACUCCACUAAUUUUCAGAAUUUAAGCAACAAAGUCAUGAACCCUAACUAUGAAAACUAAAGCUAAAUGAUAGGGGAGAAGAAUCAAGCCACCAAACCUUGGGGUUUUGAUUCUCCAAUGCAAGAGCUCCAUUGUGGUAUUAAAAUUCAAGCAAACAGAGGAGGUAAAAAAUUCACCGACUUGCAAGACGGAGGUUUGUCUUGGAAAUUGUUAAAAUCUGAAGAUGAAAAAGAUAAAGAAAAUCAAAGGUUAAAUUGCAAAAAUAGCAGGUGUAACCGAUUACCAGCAUAAAAAUAGGGGUUUGGGGCUAUUGAAUGAGGUUGAGUAAUGCAAGUGUGACCGGUUACCAUGUUUUAUGUAACCGGUUACCAGCACGAUAUCAGGCCUCUAGAUGUUGGUGAACUCAGGUGUAACCGAUUACCAGGUUUUGUGUAACUGGUUACCAGAACGAAAAAAUGGCUUUUUUGGAUUGGUGUACCUAUGACCUAGGUUUGACAUGGUAUUGAUCAAAGAUGGAAAGCUAUGGAGAUAUGGAUCAUGAAAAGGUUUUAGUAAGUCAUGGAAGCACUCGGGGGCACAAGGAUAUAAGGUUUAUGAGAGUGAUGGCCAAAGUUAACACUAGGUCAAAUGUAAGUUUUUUUUGUAGAUUUUGAUUUGAAUAUUUUGUAAUGAGAUGUUUGAAGGUUUUGUGAUGGAAAUUGACCACUAAAUUGAAUUGUAUGUCUUGUACUUCAAGAAAGCUCUUUCUCCCUCCAAAUUUUCAUUUUUAACAUUUGGAUUUCUUGAAUUUGGAUCUCUUGAUCUCUUGAAUGAACCACAAAUCAAAGCCCAAGAUAAUCACUAAGUAACUUCAGUCCCCAAUGUUAUGAUGUGAUCAACAUAACCACAAGCAUAUGCCGAAGAUUAGAGUUCCACAAAAUUGUCAGUAUCACCUUUGUGUCAUAAUUAUCAAAAUCCUUGAAUCAAUGAUGUUUCUUAUUAUUUUAAAAAUGCAAUAGUGAAUGAACUUAAAUGGCAUGAGUAUGCAGAUGAACUUAGGGUCAAAAUUCAGAUGAAAAACUGAAAGAAGAUAGGGUAAAUUUUGGGAUAUGACACCACCUGAUAGGUCUAACUUCAGCCACUCUAGUGGAUACUCCUCUUGAGGUUAAUGUUAAAUAUCGUCGUGAUGAAGUCUAGCAAGUGAGUCAAUAUAUGCACACUCCUCUCCAUCUUCACCUAGCUUCAGUAUGUCGCAUCAUACGUGAUGCAGAUUGGGUUGGUUGUCCUGACACACUAAGAUCAAUUAUUUGUUGGUGCAUGUUUCUUGGUCCUGCAUUGAUUUCUUGGAAGAGUAAAAAGCAGUCUCGUGUCUCUAAGUCUUCAACAAAAUCCAAGUAUCGAACAAUGUCUACAACUUGUUCUGAAAUUACCGGACUUCGUGGACUUUUGGCCAAACUCGAUUUUCCUCAAAAUACAGCAACACCGCUCUUUGCUGACAAUACCAGUGCUAUUCAAAUUGCUACUAAUCCGAUUUUUCAUGAACACACAAAGCAUAUUGAGGCAGAUUGUCAUUUGAUUCAGGAAACAUUAAACAAUCAUGUUAUAUCUCUUCCUCAUGUCACAUCACAACUUCAACUUACAAAUAUCUUCACUAAGGUUGUACCUCAACCUCGACAAUAAUUUCUCAUCAGCAAAUUGAUGCUUCUUGACAAGCCGCAUCAAUUUGAGGGGAUGUCAAUAAGGAAUACUUAUUGAUAUGAUUUUGUUAUUAUUACAAUUUAUGUUAGUUGUUGGAUAUAUGUUAGGUUGUCUCUAAUUGUAUAGAAAUUAUAGGAAUUAGAACAUUUGUAUCUUUAAUACUCCCUCCGUCUCAUAAAAAAUGUCUUAUUUGAACAAUUCACGAUUCUUAAGGAAAUGAUUGAAUGUGUUAAUUUUGAUGAUAAA